ACGGGUGAGUAACGCGUGGGAAUCUACCGUACCCUACGGAAUAGCUCUGGGAAACUGGAAGUAAUACCGUAUACGCCCUAACGGGGAAAGAUUUAUCGGGGUAUGAUGAGCCCGCGUUGGAUUAGCUAGUUGGUGGGGUAAAGGCCUACCAAGGCGACGAUCCAUAGCUGGUCUGAGAGGAUGAUCAGCCACAUUGGGACUGAGACACGGCCCAAACUCCUACGGGAGGCAGCAGUGGGGAAUAUUGGACAAUGGGGGCAACCCUGAUCCAGCCAUGCCGCGUGAGUGAUGAAGGUCUUAGGAUUGUAAAGCUCUUUCAACGGUGAAGAUAAUGACGGUAACCGUAGAAGAAGCCCCGGCUAACUUCGUGCCAGCAGCCGCGGUAAUACGAAGGGGGCUAGCGUUGUUCGGAAUUACUGGGCGUAAAGCGCACGUAGGCGGGUAUUUAAGUCAGGGGUGAAAUCCCGCAGCUCAACUGCGGAACUGCCUUUGAUACUGGGUAUCUUGAGUAUGGAAGGGGUAAGUGGAAUUGCGAGUGUAGAGGUGAAAUUCGUAGA
rnacentral:rRNA from 1 species